UACAGAGGUCUCAAGCGUUGUUCGGAUUCAUUGGGCGUAAAGGGCGCGUAGGCGGAUAGUUUAGUCAGAGGUGAAAGCCCAGGGCUCAACCUUGGAAUUGCCUUUGAUACUGGCUAUCUUGAGUUCGGGAGAGGUGAGUGGAAUGCCGAGUGUAGAGGUGAAAUUCGUAGAUAUUCGGCGGAACACCAGUGGCGAAGGCGACUCACUGGCCCGAUACUGACGCUGAGGCGCGAAAGCGUGGGGAGCAAACAGG
rnacentral:rRNA from 1 species